AACGAACGCUGGCGGCAUGCCUAACACAUGCAAGUCGAACGAGAUCUUCGGGUCUAGUGGCGCACGGGUGCGUAACGCGUGGGAAUCUGCUCUUUGGUUCGGAAUAACAGUUGGAAACGACUGCUAAUACCGGAUGAUGACGAAAGUCCAAAGAUUUAUCGCCAGAGGAGGAGCCCGCGUAGGAUUAGCUAGUUGGUGUGGUAAAGGCGCACCAAGGCGACGAUCCUUAUCUGGUCUGAGAGGAUGAUCAGCAGCACAUGGACUUAGACACGGCCCAGACUGCGACGGGAGGCAGCAGUGUGACAUAUUGGACAAUGGGCGAAAGCCUUAUCCAGCAAUGCCGCGUGAGUGAUGAAGGCCUUAGGGUUGUAAAGCUCUUUUACCCGGGAUGAUAAUGACAGUACCGGGAGAAUAAGCUCCGGCUAACUCCGUGCCAGCCGCCGCCGUAA
rnacentral:rRNA from 1 species